UACGUAGGGUGCAAGCGUUAAUCGGAAUUACUGGGCGUAAAGCGUGCGCAGGCGGUGAUGUAAGACAGAUGUGAAAUCCCCGGGCUCAACCUGGGAACUGCCAUUGAUACUAUUAGUCUUGAAUUCUGUUGAGGUGGGCGGAAUACAUCAUGUAGCGGUGAAAUGCUUAGAUAUGACAUAGAACACCGAUUGCGAAGGCAGCUAACUACAGGGAUAUUGACACUGAGGCACGAAAGCGUGGGGAUCAAACAGGA
rnacentral:rRNA from 1 species